rnacentral:rRNA from 1 species
UACGGGGGGGGCAAGCGUUGUUCGGAAUUACUGGGCGUAAAGGGCGCGUAGGCGGCCUGCUAAGUCGGAUGUGAAAGCCCUUGGCUCAACUGAGGAAGUGCACCCGAAACUGAGUGGCUAGAGUACGAAAGAGGGUCGCGGAAUUCCUGGUGUAGCGGUGAAAUGCGCAGAUAUCAGGAAGAACACCAAUGGCGAAGGCAGCUCUCUGGGACGGUACUGACGCUGAGACGCGAAAGCGUGGGGAGCGAACAGG